rnacentral:tRNA from 1 species
GUUGAUGUGGUGUAACGGUUAGCACAUCCGUUUUUGCCAAUCAGAAGGUGCGGGUUCAAAUCCCGUCAUCAACUCC